rnacentral:ncRNA from 1 species
GAUUCAGAUAAUUGGUUUUUGCGGCUGUCCGACCGGGCAGUGCCGCGAAGCUACCAUCUGCCGGAUAAUGGCUGAACGCCUCUAAGUCAGAAUCCGUGCCAGAAAGCGACGACGCCUCCCGCACGUAUAGAUGGACACGAAUAGGCUUCGGCUUAGCGUCUUAGCAGGCAGGGACCGCCGCGGCCCAGGAAGCGGGUUGCGGUACCUUGCGAAUUGUAAUUUCAGCACGAGCGGGGUCGAAUCCCUUGCAGACGACUUUGAUGUGCGAAAGGGUCCUGUAAGCAGUAGAGUAGCCUUGUUGUUACGAUCUGCUGAGGGUAAGCCCUACUUCGCCUAGAUUUCC